rnacentral:rRNA from 1 species
UACAGAGGGGGCAAGCGUUGUUCGGAAUUACUGGGCGUAAAGGGCGCGUAGGCGGCCGCCUAAGUCAGACGUGAAAUCCCUCGGCUCAACCGGGGAACUGCGUCUGAUACUGGGUGGCUUGAAUCCGGAAGAGGGAUGCGGAAUUCCAGGUGUAGCGGUGAAAUGCGUAGAUAUCUGGAGGAACACCGGUGGCGAAGGCGGCAUCCUGGACCGGUAUUGACGCUGAGGCGCGAAAGCCAGGGGAGCAAACGGG